UCCCGUUAAAAACGAAAGCGAAACAGGAAGUAAAGUCUGUUAAUUAAGUCGUUCGUUUUCUGAUUAUUGAAAAGAAGAGGGGAGAAUGGACUGAUUGAUACAAGGAUCCAGAAGGUACUGAAAAAGGGACAAUGCUUCGACUGAAUGUGUCAUCCAUGUACCAGUAUAGAUCUGUUAAUGAGGCAUAUCCAAUAAUUCUUAUACUCAUGAAGAGUUUGGCAACUUCCAAGUAGUUAAUGAUGGCACUCAUUUUAAAUCAGAUGCUCACUUCUAGGAUGUUUUCCACGUUCUUGUGAAAAGUGUUUUACGUGGCACCAUUCAGAUACAAAUACUUUGCCGAUGGAACUGUGACAUCAAUCAACUGCUCAUGCCACUGCUAAGUAGUGAUGAGUGUACUGGAAGUUUUUUCAGGAUCUUGUCCGACAUCAUAGGUACAACUGGUCACUGUGCUUUCUUGGUUAUAUAAGAAGAUAUAUUGUUAAAGCGGUGACAUAUGUAGCUUCAAAUGAUGCUUGACUGUUAAAGUGUUUUUCUUCAAUUUAUAAGUAAACCUGGAUUGAUCUCUGAUGCAGUAAUAUAGAGCCAUGUCCAUUCUUUAAAUUCCAUCAUCCCACUGUCACAAAGUACUGAAAUAAAAAUGAUUUUGAUUUUAAAAA